rnacentral:rRNA from 1 species
GACGGAGGAUGCAAGCGUUAUCCGGAAUGAUUGGGCGUAAAGCGUCCGCAGGUGGCAGUUCAAGUCUGCUGUCAAAGACCGGGGCUCAACCUCGGAAAGGCAGUGGAAACUGAACAGCUAGAGUAUGGUAGGGGCAAAGGGAAUUCCUGGUGUAGCGGUGAAAUGCGUAGAGAUCAGGAAGAACAUCGGUGGCGAAGGCGCUUUGCUAGACCAUAACUGACACUCAGGGACGAAAGCUAGGGGAGCGAAUGGG